rnacentral:piRNA from 1 species
UGACGAUGCGGGUGAAGUGCAUAACUGC